rnacentral:rRNA from 1 species
AGAGUUUGAUCAUGGCUCAGGACGAACGCUGGCGGCGUGCUUAACACAUGCAAGUGGAGCGACGAACCGGGGCUUGCCCCGGGGCAAAGCCGCGAACGGGUGAGUAACACGUGGGUAACCCACCUCGAUGACCGGGACAACCCGAGGAAACUCGGGCUAAUACCGGAUGUGCUCUUCUCUCUCAAGAGAGUCGAGGAAAGAUAGCUUCGGCCUUCGCAUCGAGACGGGCCCGCAGCCCAUUAGCUUGUUGGUGGGGUAAAGGCCUACCAAGGCUUCGAUGGGUAGCUGGUCUGAGAGGACGAUCAGCCACACUGGGACUGAGACACGGCCCAGACUCCUACGGGAGGCAGCAGUGGGGAAUCUUGCACAAUGCGCGAAAGCGUGAUGCAGCAACGCCGCGUGGGGGAAGAAGGCCUUCGGGUUGUAAACCCCUUUCAGUUGGGACGAAGCUUCGCCGGUGAAUAGCCGGCUGGAGUGACGGUACCUUCAGAAGAAGCCCCGGCUAACUACGUGCCAGCAGCCGCGGUAAUACGUAGGGGGCAAGCGUUGUCCGGAAUCAUUGGGCGUAAAGCGCGUGUAGGCGGUUCGGUAAGUCCGCUGUGAAAGUCCAGGGCUCAACCCUGGGAUGCCGGUGGAUACUGUCGGACUAGAGUACGGAAGAGGCGAGUGGAAUUCCCGGUGUAGCGGUGAAAUGCGCAGAUAUCGGGAGGAACACCAAUUGCGAAGGCAGCUCGCUGGGACGUCACUGACGCUGAGACGCGAAAGCGUGGGGAGCAAACAGGAUUAGAUACCCNNGUAGUCC